rnacentral:rRNA from 1 species
UACGCAGAAGACUAGUGUUAUUCAUCUUUAUUAGGUAUAAAGGGUACCUAGACGGUAAAAAUCAGCCUAAAAAAGGUACGGUUUUACUAGAGUUAUAUGUGAUGAGGGAAGUAUUUAAGGAGUAGAGUUGAAAUUUUAUGAUACCUUAAGGACUGUCAAAGGCGAAGGCGACCUUUUAUCUAAUAACUGACGUUGAGGGACGAAGGCUUGGGUAGCGAAUAGG